rnacentral:rRNA from 1 species
GACGGAGGAUGCAAGUGUUAUCCGGAAUCACUGGGCGUAAAGCGUCUGUAGGUGGUUCGAAAAGUCCACUGUUAAAAAUUGAAGCUUAACUUCAAAGAUGCCGUGGAAACUUUCAAACUAGAGUGUGGUAGGGGUAGAGGGAAUUUCCAGUGGAGCGGUGAAAUGCGUAGAUAUUGGAAAGACCACCGAUGGCGAAGGCACUCUACUGGGCCAUUACUGACACUGAGAGACGAAAAGCUAGGGGAGCAAAAUGGG